rnacentral:rRNA from 1 species
UGCUAGUCGUGUGACUCAGGCAAAACGAGUCACGGCACACAGCUCAGUAACACGUGGCUAAUCUGCCCUUAGGACGAGAACAACCCCGGGAAACUGGGGCUAACUCUUGAUAGGUGAAGAACUCUGGAAUGAGUCUUUGCCUAAAUAGAUUCACGUUAUCCUCGUGAAUCUGCCUAAGGAUGAGGCCGCGACCGAUCAGGUUGUUGGCGAGGUAAUGGCUCACCAAGCCUUUUACCGGUGCGGGCCGUGGGAGCGGGAGCCCGGAGAUGGGUACUGAGACAAGGACCCAGGCCCUACGGGGCGCAGCAGUCGCGAAACCUUUGCAAUAAGCGAAAGCUUGACAGGGCUAUCCCGAGUGCCAUCCGCUGAGGAAGGCUUUUACCCAGUCUAGAACGCUGGGGGAAUAAGGAGAGGGCAAGUCUGGUGUCAGCCGCCGCGGUAAUACCAGCUCUUCGAGUGGUGUGGAUGUUUAUUGGGCCUAAAGCAUCCGUAGCUGGCUAGGUCAGUCCCUUGUUAAAUCCACCGAAUUAAUCGUUGGAUCGCGGGGGAUACUGCUUGGCUAGGGGACGAGAGAGGCAGACGGUAUUUUCGGGGUAGGGGUGAAAUCCUAUAAUCCCGGGAAGACCACCAGUGGCGAAGGCUGUCUGCUAGAACGCGCCCGACGGUGAGGGAUGAAAGCUGGGGGAGCGAACCGGAUUAGAUACCCGGGUAGUCCCAGCUGUAAACGAUGCAGACUAUGUGUUUGAACGGGCACGUGCCGUUCUAGUGCCGCAGGGAAGCUGUUAAGUCUGCCGCCUGGGGAGUACGAUCGCAGAUUGAAACUUAA